AUAUUUACAUGGCAGGGCAGACACCAUAAUCACAAAGGUGGUUUACCCAGGCCAAGGCUUUGACUGCAUAAUUUAUAGUAGUAGGGAGGUUGCAUUCCCAC
rnacentral:snRNA from 1 species